rnacentral:rRNA from 1 species
AUGGCAGAGGGCGUUGUAGCGUUGCUGAUUGCAAAGCUCGGUUUUGCCUUAGCAAAAGAGGCUGCAACCUUUGGCGCAUCGCUGCUAUGCAACGAAGCAUCUGCCAUCAGGGGCCUCUUCGGCGAGAUCCGUGAGGCCAAGGAGGAGCUGGAGAGCAUGCAUGCCUACCUCCAAGGGGCGGAGCGGUUCAAGGACACCGAUGAGACUACCCGUAUUUUUGUCAACAAGAUCAGGGGCUUCGCCUUCGAGAUUGAGGAUGUGGUCGAUGAGUUCACCUACAAGCUGGAAGACAAGCAUGGUGGAUUCACUAAGAGGAUGAAGAAGAGGGUCAAGCACAUCAAGGCAUGGCAUCGUUUGACACUCAAGCUUCAGGAUAUCAAGGGCAGGCUUCAGAGUGCAGACAGGAGAAAGGUCCGCUACAGCAUGAGAGAGAUGGAUAGAGAGGGGAGGAACGGUGGCCACUCUAGAUCUGCUGACCAUUCUCUGAAUCUUGUGAGGGGAGAGGAUCUUGUGGGCAUUGAGAAGAACAAGGACAAGUUGAUGCACUGGCUCGUGGGUGAUUUGGAGGAGCCACGAAGCAAAAUUGCAACUAUUUGGGGAAUGGGAGGUGUGGGUAAGACCACUUUGGUUCAUCAUGUGUACACGGCCGUGAAGAUGGACUUUAAUAUUUCUGUGUGGAUAAGUGUAUCAAGUAGCUACCAAGUUGAAGACUUGCUGAAAAAGAUUGCAAGUGAAUUGGGUAUCCCAAAUAGUGUUGCCAACGGAAACAGAAGCUUGGUUGAGGUAAUCCAUAAUCAUCUGGAGGGUUCAAAUUAUCUCAUAAUCCUGGAUGAUGUUUGGAAUGUGGAUGUCUGGUUUAAGAUUAGGAAUGCAUUUCCUACAGAAAGCACUGGUCGAUUUGUUAUCACCACUAGAAUUCAGGAGGUAGCAUUGCUGGCAACAAAAACCUAUACAAUCAAACUCGAACCAUUGGAAAGAGAUUACGCGUGGCAGCUAUUUUGCAAUGAAGCCUUUUGGAACAAUGACAACAAAACAUGCCCAGAGGAACUAGAAAAAUUAGCUCAGAUGUUUCUCAAUAAGUGUGGUGGCUUGCCAAUUGCUAUUGCUUGUGUAGGCCGCUUGUUGUCAUGCCGGCAUCCAACUUACAGCCAGUGGGAAAGUCUAUACGAGGAGUUAGAGUCGCAACUCAGUAAUAAUGUGAUCCUCGAUGUCAACAUUGUUCUGAAAGUCAGCUUGGAGGACCUUCCAACUGAUUUAAAGAAUUGUUUUCUGCACUGCACAAUAUUUCCAGAGGGUCGUCUAUUCGGAAGGAAAAGGUUAAUCAGGCAUUGGAUCGCAGCUGGAUUCAUUAAAGAAGCAGGGAGCAAAUCAUUGGAGGAAGUGGCAGAGGGCUACCUUUACGAACUUGUAAACAGAAGCCUACUGCAGGUGGUCCAGCGGAAUUCGUAUGGUCGAGUUCGCAGGUGCCGAAUGCAUGACAUCAUCCGUGUUCUUGCUCUUGCUAAAUCAGAAGAGGAAUCCUUUUGUCAAUUUUACAAUGGCUCAAGGCCUUUUUAUACCGAGAAUACGCGUCGCCUGUCAAUUCAGGGUACAAGCAGGGAACAAUUGACCGUAUUGUCAAGUGCAACAAGUCUUCGCUCUCUGCAUGUUUUUGACAGCCACCUGAGAAUAGAUUUUCUAGAGGCUUUCCUCAGACCUUUCAGCUUGCUGUCAACAUUGGAUUUGCAAGGAGUUCAAAUCAAGAGACUACCCAAGAUGGUCUUCAACUUGUUUAAUCUGCGCUUUCUAGGUCUUCGAGAUACUCAUAUUGAAUAUCUCCCAAAAGAAAUAGGGAGGUUACAGAACCUGGAAGUCCUGGAUGCUUGCAAGGCGAUGCUAUCGGCACUUCCAGUGGAAGUGGCCACACUUCGGAAACUGAAAUACUUGUUUGUGAUUACUGUUCCGGCUGGAGCUUAUGGGAGAUUUGUUGUUUUUGAUGGGAUCCAGGUGCCGAAGGCUAUCGGCAAUUUGACCGACUUGUUGGCCCUGCAAUAUAUCGAAGCUAACAGUGAGGUGCUGUGUCAUCUAGGAUGCUUAACCAAGUUAAGAACUUUUGGUAUCAGUAAAGUCAGGAAUGGUCAUUGUGCAGAUUUGUGUGGGGCGAUCACGAAAAUGGUUCAUCUUGUUCAUGUAGGAAUCUUUGCACUUGAUCAAACGGAAGUCCUCCAGCUGGAGGCACUUCGCUUACCUCCAACUGUUUCAAAAGUAGAGAUAUAUGCGCAGCUAGACGAAAGAACUCUACCUCAGUUUGUCUCAUCCAGUUCAAAACUUAUUAACCUCACGGAUUUAGCGUUGUGUUGGUCCAAAUUAUAUGAAGAUUCUUUUGCGUGCCUCAUGGGUUUGCAUGGCUUAGUUAAACUUGUCCUUGGUAAGGCUUAUGAUGGAGAGGAGCUACACUUCCGUGCAACAUCGCUUCCAAAACUCAAAGCACUAGGGAUAUGGGGUGCUCCGAAUCUCAACAGAGUUGCAAUUGAACAAGGUGCGAUGAAAAACAUUGUUGACCUAAUUCUCAGAGACUGUCCAGUAUUGGACGAUCUUCCUCAUGGCAUCGAGCAUCUCAGAACCCUCGAGUACCUGGAGUUGCACAAUAUUUCUGAAGAGCUGACACGGAAGCUUCAAACAAAUGAGGAAUCAAAGGAACGCGAUGAAGAUUGGAUGAAAAUUAACCAUGUGAGACGGGUUGUGGUUAUUUAG